rnacentral:rRNA from 1 species
GGAGUUAGCCGGUGCUUCUUCUGUGAGUGAUGUCCUUCCUGCCGGCUAUUAACCCGCAGGCCUUCUUCCUCACUGAAAGUGCUUUACAACCCGAAGGCCUUCUUCACACACGCGGCAUGGCUGGAUCAGGGUUGCCCCCAUUGUCCAAUAUUCCCCACUGCUGCCUCCCGUAGGAGUCUGGGCCGUGUCUCAGUCCCAGUGUGGCUGAUCAUCCUCUCAGACCAGCUACGGAUCGUCGCCUUGGUGAGCCGUUACCUCACCAACCAGCUAAUCCGACAUAGGCUCAUCCGAUAGCGCGAGGCCCGAAGGUCCCCCGCUUUCCCCCGUAGGGCGUAUGCGGUAUUAGCCUGGGUUUCCCCAGGUUAUCCCCCACUACCGGGCAGAUUCCUAUGCAUUACUAACCCGUCCGCCGCUCGCCACCAGGGAGCAAGCUCCCCGUGCUGCCGCUCGACUUGCAUGUGUUAGGCCUGCCGCCAGCGUUCAAUCUGAGCCAGAAUCGAACCCUGA